GAACAAAACACCAAUGGCUCAUGCUCUAAGAUCAAGAAUCGACAAAUGGGAUCUCAUAAAACUGCAAAGCUUCUGUAAGGCAAAGGACACUGUUGUUAGGACAAAACGGCAACCAACAGAUUGGGAAAACAUCUCUACCAAUCUUACAUCUGAUAGAGGGCUAAUAUCCAAAAUAUACAAAGAACUCAAAAAGUUAGAUUCCAGAGAACCAAAUAACCCUAUUAAAAAAUGGGGUUCAGAGCUAAACAAAACAUUCUCAGCUGAGGAAUAUCGAAUGGCCAAAAAGCACCUAAAGAAAUGUUCAACAUCCUUAGUCAUCAGGGAACUGCAAAUCAAAACAACCCACCUCACAGCAGUCAGAAUGGCUAAGAUAAAAAAGUCAGGUGAUAGCAGAUGCUGACGAGGAUGUGGAGAAAGAGGAAGACUGUUGGUGGGAUUGCAAACUGGUACAACCAUUCUGGAAAUCAGUCUGGAGGUUCCUCAGAAAAUUGGACAUUGCACUACCUGAGGACCCAGCUAUUCCAAAAGAUGCUCCAACAUACAACAAAAACACAUGCUCCACCAUGUUCAUAGCAGCCUUAUUUAUAAUAGCCAAAAGCUGGAAAGAACCCUGAUGCCCUUCAACAGAGGAAUGGAUACAGAAAAUGUGGUACAUCUACACAAUGGAAUAGUACUCAGCUAUCAAAAACAAUAACUUCAUGAAAUUCAUAGGCAAAUGUAAUGAACUAGAAAUUAUCAUCCUGUGUGAGGUUACUCAAGCACAGAAAAACACACUUGGUAUGCACUCAUUGAUAAGUGGAUAUUAGCCAAAAAGCUCGAAUUACCCAAGAUGCAAUCCACAGAUUACAGAAAGCUCAAGACCAAAAUGCGGAUGCUCCCACUCCUUCUUAAAAGGGGGAAAAUAUUCAUAGUAGUGGAUAUGGAAGCAAAGUUUAGAGCAGCGACUUAAGGAAUGGCCAUUCAGAGCCUGACCCACAUGUAGCCCAUAUAUAUACAGCCACCAAAGAUAAGAUUGAUGAAGCUAGAAAAUGCAUGCUGAAAGGGACCGGAUAUAGACCUCUCCUGAGAGACACAUCCAGAGCACGUCCAAUACAGAGGUCAAUGCUAGCAGCAAACCACUGAACUGAGAACAGGACCCCCUUGGGGGGGAGGGGAAUUAGAGGAAGGAUUGAAAGAGUUGAAGGAGCUUGCAGUCCCAUAAGAACAACAAUGCCAACCAACCGGAGCUUCCAGGGACUAAGCCACUACCCAAAGACUAUACAUGGACUGACCCAGGGCUCCAACUGCUUAUGUAGCAGAGAAUAGCCUUAUUGGG
rnacentral:lncRNA from 1 species